UCCCACUUUAUUCUCCUCAAUCUGCGAAGAUGUCUGUUAAUUAAUAGAUGGUCGGAGUAGCCGGUGCAACUUUCUGCGACUAGCAAUAACAUCGAGAUGGAAAUUAUUUUGCAAAUGCACAUGCGAUUGGACCAGAUGAUCGGAUGCUUAGGUGAGAUUCUCUCGUCGAGCAGAUCGAUUUGUGGACGCGUGACUGGCAACAAUUCGCAAUAGAAGGCGAGUUAGGCGCGUAGAAGAAAUUCCUCCGCGAGCAGGCGUGCAGAAGGAAUUACUUACGGCCUUUGGAAAUGUUACUUACACUUACCGGAACCAGGCUCGUAGAUUGGCGUGCAUUCUUCGUCCUCGUCGUCGGCGGCGCAACCACUUCCGGCACCGGAAAAUAUGAGGUCGUCCAUGACGCCUGGGAAACCGGACGCCGGCGUCUGCGGUGGAAAAGAGAUAUGAAAAUUUAUUGCGUCGUACUAAAUAAAAAUUCCGUACAUUCCGCUCGAGUGUUGGACCGUUGUUUCUGUUAAUAUGAAGGAAGAAAAUAUUACGUCAAUUAUGUAAUUUUGGUUGAAUAAUUGAUAACAGUUUGUGUUCAUCAUCGUGUGCAUAAUUUUCCUGAUCAACGACAGCGUAAAAUAUUGUUUGAAAUUUGAUUACCUGUUGCAUCCUCUGCAACGGAGCAGCACGAUCCAGCAGACUUCCAGGAGGUAAUAACUGA